rfam:Stegodyphus mimosarum contig30016, whole genome shotgun sequence.
GCCUUCGUGGUGUAGUGGUCAGCACGCUCGACGCGUAACCGAGAGGCCCGUAGUUCGAUUCCUGGCGAGGAUA